rnacentral:rRNA from 2 species
UGUAUUCGACCUGAGCUCAGGCAAGGCUACC